rnacentral:tRNA from 12 species
GGGCCCGUAGCUUAGUCUGGUGGAGCUCCCGGCUCAUAACCGGGCGGUCGUCGGUUCAAAUCCGGCCGGGCCCACCA